rnacentral:lncRNA from 10 species
CCUCCAUGAAGAAUGCAGCUGCCACAUGGAAACAUUACUGAUUUUCCAACUGGACAUGAACCAAUGCCUCUCUUCCAUCUUCUCUGCUCUCCCGACUCCAACUGCAAGUGCUACGCAGGUGUGUGAUGACACACAGGGAAGGAGGAUUGGGUGUAAAUGCAGGCCGGGGAAGACAAGGCCAAAUGCCACACGAUGACUCAGAAGGGACAUCUGGGUCUUAAAGGAUCAAGCAAGACCUCUGAACAGAGCCAACAGGUCAAGUGAGUAAGACAGAGACGCAAUGUGGGCAGUGAAGAAGCUGAGGCUCCAGCAAGGUCCCCCGCCCCGUCACAAGGCCUGAUAUUCACACCACCUAGUCUUGCCAAAACAGCUCAGUGUGUGAGAAGGGUGUGUCCUUACUCAUCAGCAUAACUUUCCUGUGAGGUAGAGAAGGAGCAACUGGGCAGAUUGAGAUGUCAGGAGAAAUGCCAACUUCAGGAAAAAGGAUAGAGUUUCCACCAGGUGAAUGAAAGGCGUAGAAAUAGUCUGUAUGAGAAGUAGACUGGACAAAGAAAAUGUGGCACAUAUACACCAUGGAAUACUAUGCAGCCAUGAAGAAUGAGAU